AGAGGGAAGAAUCAACUCCCCAUCAUGGAAAAUAAAAUGUUCAGCUGGGCAAUAAUGAAGCAAAUGAGUAAUGCCCAGAAGACACUACAGAGAAUGUCUACUGGGGACUACAAACAGCCAUCAGUAUGGUGGAUUUGCAGAAGAAACUGCCCUAAGCUGUGUGUUAAAGGUGGAUGGGAAACCGGAGGAGGGCAUGGAAGGACAGGCCAGCUUCAGAGAAGGAUUUUCCCUCUUGCCCAGGAAACCCUUGGAAAUGGAUCCGCCCUCUAGCGGUUAACAAGGGAGCUGAGGAAUAAUGGGAUUUGACAUCAUUGGAAAGCACAGCCACACCCAAAAACAGGUGUGUGCACAAGAAUUUCUGAACACAGAUUUUACCAGCUACACCCACACCCUCAAUUCUACUUGAAAUUAAUCUUAAAGAAAUUUUGAAUUUGCUGAUAAUUUGAGAUCAGUAAAGAUUUUCCCUGAAAGUUCUAAGGACUUCGCUUGGGGUUUUGGAUUGGAUUCCAGAGGUUGGCACCUACGCUCUAAAAAAUCUAAACAGAAGGAGAAAAUAAAUCACCAACUGGCACUUUAAAGACAAAGAUUUAUACCAGAUUUAAUAAACUUCCUGUCUUGCUGA